AAUAAUAAAAUAAUGAUUAAAAAAAAAAAAAAAAAAUCUCGGAGGAUUGAAACAUCUUGAAAAGUGCUAGAGUAAUUGUCAAAAGUUGAAAAGGUCACCAAAAUAUCCCAAAGGUAAUUUUGGGUGUGACAUGAAAUAGGGACACAUACAAAAUCAAAAUAAAAUAAAAUAAAAUAAGCAUAAAAAAAUAGUCCCUUUGUAUAAUCAUUGUGAUAGCACUUGAGAUUCAUUGUGAAUUUCUUUCCUCUUGAUAUAUAUAUAAAAAAAAAAAAAAAAAAAUAUUGGAUGCACUUUGAGUUUCAUGAUUAAUAUUAUUCUCAUAUUUUGUUUACCUUAUUCCCUUUCUUUGUUAACCACAAUUUUACCCUAUUAGACCCCAUUACAACCCUUAAAAAGACCUAAUGAUUCUUUGAAAAAUGCUUGUUACAUUAGUAGAGUUAGAUCUUUUAUGCUUGCAUAUGGGUUUGGCAAUAUAAUCUUCCAUACAUUACUCACCAUCUAUUUGAGACACAUUGGCUAUCUAUUUCAUUUAGGUUUGUUUUGGCACAAUUGACUCUUGUAGUUGGUUGGUAUUUGUUGCUUGGGUUGAUUGGUUAAUUCUUAGCUAUUCUGUAAUAGUUGAGAGUGCUUGCUUCAUUCUUUGUGCUUUUGCUGGUGGGAAUUUGGAAUGUUGGUGGCUAGAGGUAAGUUGGUGGUUUGGAUUAGUGAAUUUUGUGUUUUCAAAGACUGAUUCUAUUCCCUUCCAAAUGAGUUUUAAUGAAAUUUUGCUUGAGGACAAGCAAGAGUUUGAGUAUGGGGGAAUUUGAUGCAUGCAUUUUAUAUCAUCAUUUAGGAGUUAAAUCUGGAGAAAUUUGAUGUAUUUUGAUCAGAGUAGCCAUUUGGAGGAGAUUAAAAUCGAAUUGCAAAAAAAAAAAAAAAAAAAAAAAAUUUUGAAGUUGAGAAAAAAAAUGGCCGAGAGCGACACAACCCGCGACACAACUGACUCGGCUUAUGUCGUUUUUACUGGAAAAUUUUUUGACGUGGCAUUUCCGUUACUCCAGCCUUUUUACCUCACUUUUUCUAGAUCCUUCCCCCUUUUACCCAUUCUAGAACAAUCCCUUAGCCUAUAUAAAGACCCAUUUUAUCACUUUCUUGGGAUAUAGAGAGCAUAGAGAGCAAGGGAGGCAUUUUUAGAAAGAUAGAAAGAGAGCAAGGGAGGCAUUUUUAGAAAGAUAGAAAGAGGGAAAGGGAGGAGCAUCUUCUGCAUCUUCUUCCAGCAGCAGCAAGGAUCAAGUUUCUGCACUUUUCUGCAGAGAUCCUGCUGCAAAUUUGCUGGGUUUUCUACCCCUUUUAGCUUACAUUUCCAUUAUUUCUUCAUUUCUUCAUUUGGGUUUGUCUUUAAACAAUGAUUUGUGAGUAGUUGAUUGAGAUUCUAGAGAUGGGUUUGUAAAUAUUGAUUUGUUUUGUGGUUUUGAACUGAUUUAGCCAUUUAAAUGAAGAUUGUUAUAUUUUGAUUUA